rnacentral:rRNA from 1 species
UACGUAGGUGGCAAGCGUUGUCCGGAAUUACUGGGUGUAAAGGGAGCGUAGGCGGGGAGACAAGUUGAAUGUUUAAACUAUCGGCUCAACUGAUAGUCGCGUUCAAAACUAUCACUCUUGAGUGCAGUAGAGGUAGGCGGAAUUCCUAGUGUAGCGGUGAAAUGCGUAGAUAUUAGGAGGAACACCAGUGGCGAAGGCGGCCUACUGGGCUGUAACUGACGCUGAGGCUCGAAAGCGUGGGUAGCAAACAGG